ensembl:lncRNA
AUGCCCAUCCUAUCCCAUCCCUGUCCCCAUCCCCUUCCUGUCCCCAUCCUCAUCCCUGUCACUAUCCCCAUCCCUGUCCCCAUUCUUGCCUUCAUCCUCAUCCCAUCUCCAUCCCCUUCCUCGUCCCUGUCCCCAUCCCCUUCCUCAUCCCAUGUUCAUUCCUGUCCCUGUCUCCAUCCCUGUCCCCAUUCUUGCCUUCAUCCUCAUCCCAUCUCCAUCCCCUUCCUCAUCCCUGUCCCCAUCCCGUCCCCAUCCUGUCCGGUCCCCAUCCCCAUCCCAUCUUCAUCCCUGUCCCUGUCCCCAUCCCUGUCCCUGUCCCCAUCCUUGCCUUCAUCUUCAUCCCAUCCCUGUCCCCUUCCUUGUCCCCAUCCCCAUCCUGUCCUCAUCCUCAUCCCCAUUCCAUCCUCAUCCCCAUCCCAUCCUCAUCCCCAUCCCCGUCCUCAUCCCAUCUUCAUCCCUGUCCCUGUCCCCAUCCCUGUCCCUGUCCCCAUCCUUGCCUUCAUCUUCAUCCCAUCCCUGUCCCCUUCCUUGUCCCCAUCCCCAUUCCAUCCUCAUCCCCAUCCCAUCCUCAUCCCCAUCCCCGUCCUCAUCCCAUCUUCAUCCCUGUCCCUGUCCCCAUCCCUGUCCCUGUCCCCAUCCUUGCCUUCAUCUUCAUCCCAUCCCUGUCCCCUUCCUUGUCCCCAUCCCCAUUCCAUCCUCAUCCCCAUCCCAUCCUCAUCCCCAUCCCCGUCCUCAUCCCAUCUUCAUCCCUGUCCCUGUCCCCAUCCCUGUCCCUGUCCCCAUCCUUGCCUUCAUCUUCAUCCCAUCCCUGUCCCCUUCCUUGUCCCCAUCCCCAUUCCAUCCUCAUCCCCAUCCCAUCCUCAUCCCCAUCCCCGUCCUCAUCCCAUCUUCAUCCCUGUCCCUGUCCCCAUCCCUGUCCCUGUCCCCAUCCUUGCCUUCAUCUUCAUCCCAUCCCUGUCCCCUUCCUUGUCCCCAUCCCCAUUCCAUCCUCAUCCCCAUCCCAUCCUCAUCCCCAUCCCCGUCCUCAUCCCAUCUUCAUCCCUGUCCCUGUCCCCAUCCCUGUCCCUGUCCCCAUCCUUGCCUUCAUCUUCAUCCCAUCCCUGUCCCCUUCCUUGUCCCCAUCCCCAUUCCAUCCUCAUCCCCAUCCCAUCCUCAUCCCCAUCCCCGUCCUCAUCCCAUCUUCAUCCCUGUCCCUGUCCCCAUCCCUGUCCCUGUCCCCAUCCUUGCCUUCAUCUUCAUCCCAUCCCUGUCCCCUUCCUUGUCCCCAUCCCCAUUCCAUCCUCAUCCCCAUCCCAUCCUCAUCCCCAUCCCCGUCCUCAUCCCAUCUUCAUCCCUGUCCCUGUCCCCAUCCCUGUCCCUGUCCCCAUCCUUGCCUUCAUCUUCAUCCCAUCCCUGUCCCCUUCCUUGUCCCCAUCCCCAUUCCAUCCUCAUCCCCAUCCCAUCCUCAUCCCCAUCCCCGUCCUCAUCCCAUCUUCAUCCCUGUCCCUGUCCCCAUCCCUGUCCCUGUCCCCAUCCUUGCCUUCAUCUUCAUCCCAUCCCUGUCCCCUUCCUUGUCCCCAUCCCCAUUCCAUCCUCAUCCCCAUCCCAUCCUCAUCCCCAUCCCCGUCCUCAUCCCAUCUUCAUCCCUGUCCCUGUCCCCAUCCCUGUCCCUGUCCCCAUCCUUGCCUUCAUCUUCAUCCCAUCCCUGUCCCCUUCCUUGUCCCCAUCCCCAUUCCAUCCUCAUCCCCAUCCCAUCCUCAUCCCCAUCCCCGUCCUCAUCCCAUCUUCAUCCCUGUCCCUGUCCCCAUCCCUGUCCCUGUCCCCAUCCUUGCCUUCAUCUUCAUCCCAUCCCUGUCCCCUUCCUUGUCCCCAUCCCCAUUCCAUCCUCAUCCCCAUCCCAUCCUCAUCCCCAUCCCCGUCCUCAUCCCAUCUUCAUCCCUGUCCCUGUCCCCAUCCCUGUCCCUGUCCCCAUCCUUGCCUUCAUCUUCAUCCCAUCCCUGUCCCCUUCCUUGUCCCCAUCCCCAUUCCAUCCUCAUCCCCAUCCCAUCCUCAUCCCCAUCCCCGUCCUCAUCCCAUCUUCAUCCCUGUCCCUGUCCCCAUCCCUGUCCCUGUCCCCAUCCUUGCCUUCAUCUUCAUCCCAUCCCUGUCCCCUUCCUUGUCCCCAUCCCCAUUCCAUCCUCAUCCCCAUCCCAUCCUCAUCCCCAUCCCCGUCCUCAUCCCAUCUUCAUCCCUGUCCCUGUCCCCAUCCCUGUCCCUGUCCCCAUCCUUGCCUUCAUCUUCAUCCCAUCCCUGUCCCCUUCCUUGUCCCCAUCCCCAUUCCAUCCUCAUCCCCAUCCCAUCCUCAUCCCCAUCCCCGUCCUCAUCCCAUCUUCAUCCCUGUCCCUGUCCCCAUCCCUGUCCCUGUCCCCAUCCUUGCCUUCAUCUUCAUCCCAUCCCUGUCCCCUUCCUUGUCCCCAUCCCCAUUCCAUCCUCAUCCCCAUCCCAUCCUCAUCCCCAUCCCCGUCCUCAUCCCAUCUUCAUCCCUGUCCCUGUCCCCAUCCCUGUCCCUGUCCCCAUCCUUGCCUUCAUCUUCAUCCCAUCCCUGUCCCCUUCCUUGUCCCCAUCCCCAUUCCAUCCUCAUCCCCAUCCCAUCCUCAUCCCCAUCCCCGUCCUCAUCCCAUCUUCAUCCCUGUCCCUGUCCCCAUCCCUGUCCCUGUCCCCAUCCUUGCCUUCAUCUUCAUCCCAUCCCUGUCCCCUUCCUUGUCCCCAUCCCCAUUCCAUCCUCAUCCCCAUCCCAUCCUCAUCCCCAUCCCCGUCCUCAUCCCAUCUUCAUCCCUGUCCCUGUCCCCAUCCCUGUCCCUGUCCCCAUCCUUGCCUUCAUCUUCAUCCCAUCCCUGUCCCCUUCCUUGUCCCCAUCCCCAUUCCAUCCUCAUCCCCAUCCCAUCCUCAUCCCCAUCCCCGUCCUCAUCCCAUCUUCAUCCCUGUCCCUGUCCCCAUCCCUGUCCCUGUCCCCAUCCUUGCCUUCAUCUUCAUCCCAUCCCUGUCCCCUUCCUUGUCCCCAUCCCCAUUCCAUCCUCAUCCCCAUCCCAUCCUCAUCCCCAUCCCCGUCCUCAUCCCAUCUUCAUCCCUGUCCCUGUCCCCAUCCCUGUCCCUGUCCCCAUCCUUGCCUUCAUCUUCAUCCCAUCCCUGUCCCCUUCCUUGUCCCCAUCCCCAUUCCAUCCUCAUCCCCAUCCCAUCCUCAUCCCCAUCCCCGUCCUCAUCCCAUCUUCAUCCCUGUCCCUGUCCCCAUCCCUGUCCCUGUCCCCAUCCUUGCCUUCAUCUUCAUCCCAUCCCUGUCCCCUUCCUUGUCCCCAUCCCCAUUCCAUCCUCAUCCCCAUCCCAUCCUCAUCCCCAUCCCCGUCCUCAUCCCAUCUUCAUCCCUGUCCCUGUCCCCAUCCCUGUCCCUGUCCCCAUCCUUGCCUUCAUCUUCAUCCCAUCCCUGUCCCCUUCCUUGUCCCCAUCCCCAUUCCAUCCUCAUCCCCAUCCCAUCCUCAUCCCCAUCCCCGUCCUCAUCCCAUCUUCAUCCCUGUCCCUGUCCCCAUCCCUGUCCCUGUCCCCAUCCUUGCCUUCAUCUUCAUCCCAUCCCUGUCCCCUUCCUUGUCCCCAUCCCCAUUCCAUCCUCAUCCCCAUCCCAUCCUCAUCCCCAUCCCCGUCCUCAUCCCAUCUUCAUCCCUGUCCCUGUCCCCAUCCCUGUCCCUGUCCCCAUCCUUGCCUUCAUCUUCAUCCCAUCCCUGUCCCCUUCCUUGUCCCCAUCCCCAUUCCAUCCUCAUCCCCAUCCCAUCCUCAUCCCCAUCCCCGUCCUCAUCCCAUCUUCAUCCCUGUCCCUGUCCCCAUCCCUGUCCCUGUCCCCAUCCUUGCCUUCAUCUUCAUCCCAUCCCUGUCCCCUUCCUUGUCCCCAUCCCCAUUCCAUCCUCAUCCCCAUCCCAUCCUCAUCCCCAUCCCCGUCCUCAUCCCAUCUUCAUCCCUGUCCCUGUCCCCAUCCCUGUCCCUGUCCCCAUCCUUGCCUUCAUCUUCAUCCCAUCCCUGUCCCCUUCCUUGUCCCCAUCCCCAUUCCAUCCUCAUCCCCAUCCCAUCCUCAUCCCCAUCCCCGUCCUCAUCCCAUCUUCAUCCCUGUCCCUGUCCCCAUCCCUGUCCCUGUCCCCAUCCUUGCCUUCAUCUUCAUCCCAUCCCUGUCCCCUUCCUUGUCCCCAUCCCCAUUCCAUCCUCAUCCCCAUCCCAUCCUCAUCCCCAUCCCCGUCCUCAUCCCAUCUUCAUCCCUGUCCCUGUCCCCAUCCCUGUCCCUGUCCCCAUCCUUGCCUUCAUCUUCAUCCCAUCCCUGUCCCCUUCCUUGUCCCCAUCCCCAUUCCAUCCUCAUCCCCAUCCCAUCCUCAUCCCCAUCCCCGUCCUCAUCCCAUCUUCAUCCCUGUCCCUGUCCCCAUCCCUGUCCCUGUCCCCAUCCUUGCCUUCAUCUUCAUCCCAUCCCUGUCCCCUUCCUUGUCCCCAUCCCCAUUCCAUCCUCAUCCCCAUCCCAUCCUCAUCCCCAUCCCCGUCCUCAUCCCAUCUUCAUCCCUGUCCCUGUCCCCAUCCCUGUCCCUGUCCCCAUCCUUGCCUUCAUCUUCAUCCCAUCCCUGUCCCCUUCCUUGUCCCCAUCCCCAUUCCAUCCUCAUCCCCAUCCCAUCCUCAUCCCCAUCCCCGUCCUCAUCCCAUCUUCAUCCCUGUCCCUGUCCCCAUCCCUGUCCCUGUCCCCAUCCUUGCCUUCAUCUUCAUCCCAUCCCUGUCCCCUUCCUUGUCCCCCAAUCUCCCACCCCCCUUUUCUAA